UGCUUGCCCCUUUCCUCCUUCCACCAUGUGAGAAUGCAGCAAGAAGGUGCCCUGUAUGAAGCAGAGGGCCCUCACCAGGCACCGAAUCCGGUGGCACCUUGAUGUUGAACUUCUCGGCCUUCAGAACUGUGACACAGAGAAUGAGUGGAAUACUAAUACAUUGAAGGGCAAAAUCAAAACCCCAGAAGAUCUCUAAAAGUCUGAAUGAAUCAGCCCAUAUUACAAGAUAAAGUCCAUAAUGGUAAACGGAAGGCUCUGGUCUUGGUUUACAAAAUCCAACCACUCAAAUAUGUAGUUGCUGGUAAGAAAAAAAGCCAUAAUUUCAUGUGGUUGCCAAGAAAGCUCAUUAAAUCCUUGGCUGCAUUAAUAGAUGUAUGGUAUUUCCAACAAAGCCUUCUGCCUCAUUCUGCACUGGAGAGACCACAGC
rnacentral:lncRNA from 10 species